rnacentral:sRNA from 1 species
AAUUAAGGAAGCAGACUAAGUUCGCGACGUCCUGGGGUUGCGAUUACUCACCCCACCGAAAACAUUUGUCGCAACGUCUGCACUAGCACAUCCUGGGAC